GUGUCAGCCGCCGCGGUAAGACAGAGGGUGCAAACGUUGCUCGGAAUCACUGGGCAUAAAGCGCACGUAGGCGGUCGUGAAAGUGUGGAGUGAAAUCCCCCGGCCCAACCGGGGAACUGCUUCGCAUACUGCACGGCUAGAGCUUGGGAGGGGAGAGUGGAACUCCUGGUGGAGCGGUGGAAUGCGUAGAUAUCAGGAGGAACGCCGGAGGUGAAGACGACUCUCUGGCCCAAUGCUGACGCUAAGGUGCGAAAGCUAGGGGAGCAAACGGGAUUAGAAACCCUUGUAGUCC
rnacentral:rRNA from 1 species